rfam:Brachypodium distachyon strain Bd21 chromosome 1, whole genome shotgun sequence.
UCCCUCGAUGACGAGGAACUGGUCGAAUACACCCUAGCGGGGCUCGAUAUCGAGUACACACCGCUGGUCACCUCCCUCAACUCCCUAGAUUCAAUCACUGUAAGUGACUUGUAUGCGCAGCUUGCUGCCUUUGAUA